AAUCUCUAGGCUAACACAAGGAAUGCUGCUAUGCUGCACUUUUCUGAAGGACUGCCAUGCAGAAGCACCAUAGAAAGCAUUCAGACUGAACAAAAAAUGCUGUGCAGUGGAAAACUGAAGCUGUAUAGAAGUGCCAGGAGCUGGAAUGUCCCUCGGUCUUCUCAUCUUGCUGAAUUCAGAGGGACUGAGCAGAGGUGAAAGAUCUGGUGGAACAGGCAGCUAAUGAAGUGAAACUUCAGGAAGGUCGGAUUCAGCAAAUGAAGAUCUUGGGUGAUUUGAUGGCUGCUGAAAGAGCUGCUUGGAAAAGAAGCCGAAACUCUUGCAAAACACAUAAUUGGUCUGAGAUUAAUUUCCCAGCUCUCAGUUCAGAUCAGUGUCACAAAAUUAAUAAAUUGGUAUCUUUUGAUGAA